GGUGGCUCAGUGGUAGAGUGCUUGUCUUGUAUACAUGAGGCGCUGGGUUCAAUUCCUCAGCACCA
rfam:Dipodomys ordii contig_41066, whole genome shotgun sequence.